rnacentral:rRNA from 1 species
UACAGAGGAUGCAAGCGUUAUCCGGAAUGAUUGGGCGUAAAGCGUCUGUAGGUGGCUUUUUAAGUCCGCCGUCAAAUCCCAGGGCUCAACUCUGGACAGGCGGUGGAAACUACCAAGCUGGAGUACGGUAGGGGCAGAGGGAAUUUCCGGUGGAGCGGUGAAAUGCGUAGAGAUCGGGAAGAACACCGGUGGCGAAGGCGGCCUGCUGGGCAGUUGCUGACACUGAGGCGCGACAGCGUGGGGAGCAAACAGG